rnacentral:rRNA from 1 species
AGCGAACGCUAGCGGCGGGCCUAACACAUGCAAGUCGAGCGGGAGCUUCGGUCCCAGCGGCGAACGGGUGAGUAACACGUAGGUAAUGUACCUUCUGGUGGGAACAACCGCGCGAAAGCGCGGCUAAUACCGCAUAUGUCCUUUGGGAUGAAAGCCUUCGGGCGCCAGUUGAGCAGCCUGCGGCCCAUUAUUUAUUCCUAGGUUGGUAGGGUAACGGCCUACCAAGGGUACGAGUGGGGUAGCUGGCUGAGAGGAUGAUCAGCCACACUGGAACUGAGACACGGUCCAGACUCCUACGGGAGGCAGCAGUGGGGAAUAUUGCGCAAUGGGCGAAAGCCUGGCGCAGCCACG